rnacentral:rRNA from 1 species
GAUGAACGCUGGCGGCGUGCCUAAUACAUGCGAGUCGAGCGAACGGACGAGAAGCUUGCUUCUCUGAUGUUAGCGGCGGACGGGUGAGUAACACGUGGAUAACCUACCUAUAAGACUGGGAUAACUUCGGGAAACCGGAGCUAAUACCGGAUAAUAUUUUGAACCGCAUGGUUCAAAAGUGAAAGACGGUCUUGCUGUCACUUAUCGAUGGAUCCGCGCUGCAUUAGCUAGUUGGUAAGGUAACGGCUUACCAAGGCAACGAUGCAUAGCCGACCUGAGAGGGUGAUCGGCCACACGGGAACUGAGACACGGUCCAGACUCCUACGGGAGGCAGCAGUAGGGAAUCUUCCGCAAUGGGCGAAAGCCUGACGGAGCAACGCCGCGUGAGUGAUGAAGGUCUUCGGAGCGUAAAACUCUGUUAUGAGGGAAGAACAGAUGUGUAAGUAACUGUGCACAUCUUGACGGUACCUAAUCAGAAAGCCACGGCUAACUACGUG